ACACGGACCAAGGAGUGCAACAUGCGUGCGAGUCUUUGGGUGACAAACCCGCCGGCGCAAUGAAAGUGAAGGCAGACGUGCGUCUGCCGAGGUGAGAACCCCCGUCCAUGGGGGCGCAUCAUCGACCGAUCCCAGGCUACGCUGUAGCGGGAUUUGAGUGAGAGCGUGCCUGUUGCGACCCGAAAGAUGGUGAACUAUGCCUGAAUAGGGUGAAGCCAGAGGAAACUCUGGUGGAAGCUCGUAGCGAUUCUGACGUGCAAAUCGAUCGUCAAAUUUGGGUAUAGGGGCGAAAGACUAAUCGAACCAUCUAGUAGCUGGUUCCCUCCGAAGUUUCCCUUAGGAUAGCUGGAGCCCGGUGCAGUUUUAUCAGGUAAAGCGAAUGAUUAGAGGUCUUGGGGUUGAAACAACCUCAACCUAUUCUCAAACUUUAAAUGGGUAAGAAGCCCGGCUUGCUUGGUUGAAGUCGGGCAUGGAAUGCCGGGGCUCUUAGUGGGCCAUUUUUGGUAAGCAGAACUGGCGAUGCGGGAUGAACCGAAUGCGGGGUUAAGGUGCCCGAGUCGACGCUCAUCAGAUACCAUGAAAGGUGUUGGUUGAUCUAGACAGCAGGACGGUGGCCAUGGAAGUCGGAAUCCGCUAAGGAGUGUGUAACAACU
rnacentral:rRNA from 1 species